AACCCUCCUUUCCUCUCCUCUCCUCUCCUCUACAAGGAAAUGGCAAUUUCAUCAACAGCGGCAGCCACUGCCGCUUCUUCUAAGCUUAGAUACCCACACGCCUCCCCUUUCCCAACUCACUCCUCAACCACCACCUCUGCCUUUUUCUCCUCAAUUCCCUCUAAACUAACCCCUACCCACCUCUCCUCUUCCUUCCUCCCUCCUUUCCUCACUACCGUCGCCACCACUUCCGUAUUCCCUCGCCGUCGCGGUUCUUUCACCGUCAAAGCUGCCCGUGGCAAAUUCGAACGCAAAAAGCCCCACGUCAACAUCGGCACCAUCGGCCAUGUCGACCACGGCAAAACCACCUUAACUGCCGCUCUAACUAUGGCCUUAGCCUCCAUGGGUAACAGUGCCCCAAAAAAGUACGACGAAAUUGAUGCCGCCCCUGAAGAGCGUGCCCGUGGUAUCACCAUUAACACCGCCACCGUUGAAUACGAAACCGAGAAUCGCCAUUACGCCCACGUCGACUGCCCAGGGCACGCUGAUUAUGUCAAAAACAUGAUUACCGGAGCUGCCCAAAUGGACGGUGCUAUCUUGGUUGUUUCCGGAGCCGACGGACCCAUGCCCCAGACUAAAGAGCAUAUCUUGUUGGCUAAAC
rnacentral:lncRNA from 1 species